AGUGAACGCUGGCGGUAGGCCUAACACAUGCAAGUCGAACGGCAGCACAGUACGAGCUUGCGCUUACGGGUGGCGAGUGGCGGACGGGUGAGGUAUACAUCGUAAUCUACUCUUUCGUGUGAGUUAACGUAGGUAGACUUACUCUAAUACCGCAUACGACCUACGGGUGAAAGCAGUGGAUCUUCGGACCUUUCGCGGUUGGAUUCGCCGAUGUCGGAUUAGCUAGUUGGCUGGUUAAAUGCCCACCAAGGCGACGAUCCGUAGCUGGUGUGAGAGGAUGGUAAGCGACCCUGGAGGUGAGACACGGUCAAGAGUCCUGAGGGAGGCCGCAGUGGGGAAUAUUAGGCAAUGGGGGCAAGCCUGGUACAGCCGUACGGAGUCGGUGAAGGAGGCCUUCGGGUUGUAAAGACCUUUUGUUGGGAAAGAAAAGCAGCAGGUUAAUACGAAGCUGUUCUGACGGUACCCAAAGAAGAAGCACCGGCUAACUUCGUG
rnacentral:rRNA from 1 species